rnacentral:lncRNA from 1 species
GGCCUGCAUCUGUUAAAAUAAUUAAGUUCUAUAGUGACCUUAGAUAAUUAGACAAUUUCAAUACAUUACAAUACCUCAGACGCGCGUUUCGUCUACAUAAGACUCGUCAAUGACACUCAUAUCAAAAUAGUACUAAACCCAAACAAUUACAAAAUUGUAAAGCGUUGAGGGUAAAAAAUUCCAAAACUUUGUGCCAAAUAAAACUAAGGUAAUUUAUGCCUGUAUCACUGCCAUUCGGGAUUAGAAAUCAAGCUAACUAGAUACCAAUGUUGGCUAAGUCUGUGUUCUAUUAUUCACCUUUACGAGCUGGUCUUCCGUGUUACUAGGUAUAGAGAAAUUGUAAUUGGCAUGCAUGUCCACUUCCAAUCAUAUUAGUAU